ACGGGUGAGUAACACGUGGGUAACCUGCCCAUCAGAAGGGGAUAACACUUGGAAACAGGUGCUAAUACCGUAUAACACUAUUUUCCGCAUGGAAGAAAGUUGAAAGGCGCUUUUGCGUCACUGAUGGAUGGACCCGCGGUGCAUUAGCUAGUUGGUGAGGUAACGGCUCACCAAGGCCACGAUGCAUAGCCGACCUGAGAGGGUGAUCGGCCACACUGGGACUGAGACACGGCCCAGACUCCUACGGGAGGCAGCAGUAGGGAAUCUUCGGCAAUGGACGAAAGUCUGACCGAGCAACGCCGCGUGAGUGAAGAAGGUUUUCGGAUCGUAAAACUCUGUUGUUAGAGAAGAACAAGGAUGAGAGUAGAACGUUCAUCCCUUGACGGUAUCUAACCAGAAAGCCACGGCUAACUACGUGCCAGCAGCCGCGGUAAUACGUAGGUGGCAAGCGUUGUCCGGAUUUAUUGGGCGUAAAGCAAGCGCAGGCGGUUUCUUAAGUCUGAUGUGAAAGCCCCCGGCUCAACCGGGGAGGGUCAUUGGAAACUGGGAGACUUGAGUGCAGAAGAGGAGAGUGGAAUUCCAUGUGUAGCGGUGAAAUGCGUAGAUAUAUGGAGGAACACCAGUGGCGAAGGCGGCUCUCUGGUCUGUAACUGACGCUGAGGCUCGAAAGCGUGGGGAGCGAACAGGAUUAGAUACCCUGGUAGUCCACGCCGUAAACGAUGAGUGCUAAGUGUUGGAGGGUUUCCGCCCUUCAGU
rnacentral:rRNA from 1 species